GGCUUGGUGGCAUAAUUGUAACACGCUCCGUGGUGAUAUAUAGCAUUUAUAUAUUGUUUGACGGAAAGUCCGGAGUUCAAUUCUCUGUCAAGCCA